rnacentral:rRNA from 1 species
AUGAAUGGUGAAAGGAAGGUUCAUUGGAUUGCUUGGAAGAAAAUGUGUGCUAGUAAACGAGAAGGAGGUAUGGGCUUUCAUGAUCCAGAGGCUUUCAACCAAGCUUUGCUGGCUAAGCAGGCUUGGCGCAUCUUGCAAGUCCCAUCCUCAUUGUGUGCAAGGGUGAUCAAGGCGCGCUACUUCCCAGAUAAUUCGAUCAUGUCGGCUGCUUGCCCGUCAUCAGGCUCAUACACGUUCCGCAGUAUAUUGCAUGGAAGGGAU